rnacentral:rRNA from 1 species
UAGGGAAUCUUCCGCAAUGGGCGAAAGCCUGACGGAGCAACGCCGCGUGAGUGAUGAAGGUCUUCGGAUCGUAAAACUCUGUUAUUAGGGAAGAACAUAUGUGUAAGUAACUGUGCACAUCUUGACGGUACCUAAUCAGAAAGCCACGGCUAACUACGUGCCAGCAGCCGCGGUAAUACGUAGGUGGCAAGCGUUAUCCGGAAUUAUUGGGCGUAAAGCGCGCGUAGGCGGUUUUUUAAGUCUGAUGUGAAAGCCCACGGCUCAACCGUGGAGGGUCAUUGGAAACUGGAAAACUUGAGUGCAGAAGAGGAAAGUGGAACUCCAUGUGUAGCGGUGAAAUGCGCAGAGAUAUGGAGGAACACCAGUGGCGAAGGCGACUUUCUGGUCUGUAACUGACGCUGAUGUGCGAAAGCGUGGGGAUCAAACAGGAUUAGAUACCCUGGUAGUCCACGCCGUAACGAUGAGUGCUAAGUGUUAGGGGGUUUCCGCCCCUUAGUGCUGCAGCUAACGCAUUAAGCACUCCGCCUGGGGAGUACGACCGCAAGGUU